rnacentral:rRNA from 1 species
GGCAAGUCUGGUGCCAGCAGCCGCGGUAACUCCAGCUCCAAUAGCGUAUAUUAAAGUUGCUGCAGUUAAAAAGCUCGUAGUUGGAUCUCGGUAUCACUGGGGCCUGCGGACGGAACCUUUGCUGUCGUCUGGCUGAGACAAAAUCGUCAAGGCUGCGGCGCGUUGGAACCUGAAGUAAUAGUCCUGGUGUCACCUUUCAGCCAUGUCUGUGGUGAAAUACCCGCAGGUGUAGGCGAGUGUCGGGCGGUGCUUUGCCUUAGUGUAGGGCCCGUCGGCUCGUGUGCAUGCCUUUGGAUGCACUUAAGUGUGUGUCCGAGGCGGAUGGCACGUUUACUUUGAACAAAUUUGAGUGCUCAAACCAGGCCGAUGUUGCCUGAAAAGUUUUGCAUGGAAUAAUGGAAUAGGACUUCGGUUCUAUUUCGUUGGUUUUCGGAUCCGAAGUAAUGAUCAAAAGAGACAGGCGGGGACGUUUGUAUGGCUGCGCUAGAGGUGAAAUUCAUGGACCGUAGCCAGACAAACUAAAGCGAAAGCAUUCGUCAAGCAUGUUUUCAUUGGCCAUGAGCGAAAGUCAGAGGCUCGAAGACGAUCAGAUACCGUCCUAGUUCUGACCAUAAACGAUGCCAACUGACGAUCCGUGGUGGUAGUAUUAAGACCUUCCCCACGGGCAGUCCCCGGGAAACCAUUAAGUCUUUGGGUUCCGGGGGAAGUAUGGUUGCAAAGCUGAAACUUAAAGGAAUUGACGGAAGGGCACCACCAGGAGUGGAGCCUGCGGCUUAAUUUGACUCAACACGGGAAAACUCACCCGGCCCGGACACUGUGAGGAUUGACAGAUUGAUAGCUCUUUCUUGAUUCAGUGGUUGGUGGUGCAUGGCCGUUCUUAGUUGGUGGAGCGAUUUGUCUGGUUAAUUCCGAUAACGAACGAGACUCCAGCCUGCUAAUUAGUGUGUCCGUCCUCUGUACCUGUGUAGGCGGCGUUCGACAAGGCUGCUAUCCGUUUGCUCGAGUUGCGGUGCUACGCAAGUGGUGCUGUGACGAGGGUUAGGUGGCUGGCUGGCUCGACGUUAGCUUCCGGGCACGGCGCGGAUACCUACUUCUUAGAGGGACAAGCGGGAAAAGCCGCACGAAAUUGAGCAAUAACAGGUCUGUGAUGCCCUUAGAUGUCCGGGGCCGCACGCGCGCUACAAUGACGGUGCCAACGAGUCUGACCUUCUGGCCCGAAAGGGUUGGGUAAACUGGUCAAUCACCGUCAUGACAGGGAUCGGGGCUUGGAAUUGUUCCCCGUGAACGAGGAAUUCCUAGUAAGUGCAAGUCAUAAGCUUGCGCUGAUUACGUCCCUGCCCUUUGUACACACCGCCCGUCGCUACUACCGAUUGAAUGG